GAUGAACGCUGGCGGCGUGCCUAAUACAUGCAAGUCGAGCGAACAGACGAGGAUCUUGCUCCUCUGACGUUAGCGGCGGACGGGUGAGUAACACGUGGAUAACCUACCUAUAAGACUGGGAUAACUGCGGGCAACCGGAGCUAAUACCGGAUAAUAUAUUGAACCACAUGGUUCAAAUGUGAAAGACGGUCUUGCUGUCACUUAUAGAUGGCUCCGCAGCGCAUUAGAUAGUUGGUAAGGUAACGGCUUACCAAGGGGACGAUGCGUAGCCGACCUGAGAGGAUGAUCAGCCGCACUGGAACGGUGACACGGUCCAGACUCCUACGGGAGGCACCAUUACGCAUUCGUCCGCAAGCGGCGGAAACUUGACGACGCAGCACCGCGUGAGUGAUGAAGGUCUUCGGAUCGUAAAACUCUGUUUUUAGGAAAGAACAAUGCUGUAAGUAACUAAGCACGUAAUGACGGUACCAAAACAGAAAGUCACGGCUAACUACGUG
rnacentral:rRNA from 1 species